rnacentral:rRNA from 1 species
UAACGCGUGGGUAACCUGCCCUUUGGGGGGAANGACUUCGAGAAAUCGGAGCUAAUACCGCAUAAUAAUAGAGGAUCGCAUGAUUCUUUAAGGAAAGAUGGCCUCUGAAGAUGCUAUCGCAAAAGGAUGGACCCGCGUCUGAUUAGCUAGUUGGAAGGGUAACGGCCUACCAAGGCAACGAUCAGUAGCCGGCCUGAGAGGGUGAACGGCCACAUUGGGACUGAGACACGGCCCAAACUCCUACGGGAGGCAGCAGUGGGGAAUCUUCCGCAAUGGGCGAAAGCCUGACGGAGCAAUGCCGCGUGAGUGAAGAAGGCCUUCGGGUUGUAAAACUCUGCCCCCAUCGAAGAGAGGUAGGUAUGUGANUNNUGUACCUAUAGGACGNCCCCNNCNNGAGGAAGCCCCGGCUAACUACGUGCCAGCAGCCGCGGUAAUACGUAGGGGGNGAGCGUUGUCCGGAAUCACUGGGCGUAAAGGGCGCGUAGGCGGUUUAAUAAGUCAGUGGUGAAAACUGAGGGCUCAACUCUCAGCCUGCCACCGAUACUGUUAGACUUGAGUAUGGAAGAGGAGAAUGGAAUUCCUAGUGUAGCGGUGAAAUGCGUAGAUAUUAGGAGGAACACCAGUGGCGAAGGCGAUUCUCUGGGCCAAGACUGACGCUGAGGCGCGAAAGCGUGGGGAGCAAACAGGAUUAGAUACCCUGGUAGU